UGGCUCAGACAGUAGAGAAUCUGCCUGCAAUGCAGGAGACCCAGGUUCGAUUCCUGG
rnacentral:tRNA from 1 species